UGCCAGCAGCCGCGGUAAUACGAGGGGUGCAAGCGUUAAUCGGAAUUACUGGGCGUAAAGCGUACGCAGGCGGUUUGUUAAGCAAGAUGUGAAAGCCCCGGGCUCAACCUGGGAACAGCAUUUUGAACUGGCAAGCUAGAGUCUUGUAGAGGGGGGUAGAAUUUCAGGUGUAGCGGUGAAAUGCGUAGAGAUCUGAAGGAAUACCGGUGGCGAAGGCGGCCCCCUGGACAAAGACUGACGCUCAGGUACGAAAGCGUGGGGAGCAAACAGGAUUAGAUACCCUGGUAGUCCACGCCGUAAACGAUGUCUACUCGGAAUUUGGUGUCUUGAACACUGGGUUCUCAAGCUAACGCAUUAAGUAGACCGCCUGGGGAGUACGGCCGCAAGGUUAAAACUCAAAGGAAU
rnacentral:rRNA from 1 species